rnacentral:rRNA from 1 species
CCUACGGGUGACAGCAGUGGGGAAUAUUGCACAAUGGGGGAAAGCCUGAUGCAGCGACGCCGCGUGAGUGAAGAAGUAUUUCGGGAUGUAAAGCUCUAUCAGCCGGGAAGAAAUAGCGACCUCUGGGUCGCCAGACGGUACCUGAUUAUGAAGCCCCGGCUAACAACGUGCCAGAGGCCGCGGGAAUACGAAGGGGGCAAGCGUUAUCCGGAGUUAUUGGGUUUAAAGGGUGCGGAGGCGGAAUGCCAAGUCAGCGGUAAAAUCGCGGGGCUCAACCUCUCUCCGCCGUUGAAACUGGCGUUCUUGAGUGGGCGAGAAGUAUGCGGAAUGCGUGGUGUAGCGGUGAAAUGCAUAGAUAUCACGCAGAACUCCGAUUGCGAAGGCAGCAUACCGGCGCCCAACUGACGCUGAAGCACGAAAGCGUGGGUAUCGAACAGGAUUAGAUACCCUAGUAGUC